UACGUAGGGGGCAAGCGUUGUCCGGAUUCAUUGGGCGUAAAGAGCGUGUAGGCGGCCAGGUAGGUCGGUUGUGAAAACUGGAGGCUCAACCUUCAGAGGUCGACCGAAACCAUCUGGCUAGAGUCCGGGAGAGGAGAGUGGAAUUCCUGGUGUAGCGGUGAAAUGCGCAGAUAUCGGGAAGAACACCCGUGGCGAAGGCGGCUCCCUGGGACGGUACUGACGCUGAGACGCGAAAGCGUGGGGAGCGAACAGG
rnacentral:rRNA from 1 species